CAGACCCAGCGCCGCAGAGCUGCUCCUCACCCCGUUGCUGCUCUUGGUGUCGUCUGUGCACAGGAAAAGCUGAUAGACUUUUCGUUGGGUUUGUUGUGAUCCAAAUUGGAAAACCCUGGUGUUGUGCAAUUUCCCAUAAAACAGCUGAAUAAGCCAAAGAGGCAAAGUUUGUGAAUCACUGGAGCACUUGGAGAUUUUAGGGUUGGAGAUGAGCUGGGGAAUAAACACCCAUCCCAGACUCCAUUUCCAUUCUUUGCAUCUUUUCCACAAUUUUACACAAAUGUCUCUGGGAAUGAGACAUUUCUCUAGAACAGAGUCACAAAACUUUGGAGGAAAACAAACAUUUCCUGCCUGGAUAUUAAGAAUUCCUGCUGAGCAUGGAGAAUACUGAUGAGCAGCCCGGGAUGUGAGGAUUUUCCACGAACCAGCAAUAGCAACAACCAUUUGUGUAGACCUUGACCUGGGUUGAGGUAGUGACUGGUUGAAAACACUUUGAAAAAGGUUUGGACAGAUCCAGUUUGGGGGGGAAUGGUUCAGUCUGAGAACUCUUGAAU